AGUGAACGCUGGCGGCGUGCCUAAUACAUGCAAGUCGAACGGAGUGGCGCACGGGUGAGUAAUAUAUAGCUAAUCUGCCCCUUGCUGGAGGACAACAGUCAGAAAUGACUGCUAAUACCCCAUAGCAAGGGAUGAGACUAUAUCGUAUCAGCUAGUCGGUGGGGUAACGGCGUACCGAGGCUAUGACGCGUAACUGGUAUGAGAGGAUGAUCAGUCACAUUGGAACGGAGGCACGAUCCAGACUCCUACGAGAAGCAGCAGUAGGGAAUAGUGCGGAAUGGGGGAAUCCCUGAUGCAGCAACGGCGGGUGGAGGAUGACACUUUUCGGAGGGUAAACUCCGUUUGUUAUGGGAACGGUACCUAACGAAUAAGCACCGGCUAAAGCCGUGCCAGCAGCCGCGGUAAUAC
rnacentral:rRNA from 1 species